GACGAACGCUGGCGGCGUGCUUAACACAUGCAAGUCGAACGGGAUUUAGUAAACUUAAGCCUCGGUGGAAGAGUACUAAUGAGAGUUGCGAACGGGUGAGUAACGCGUGCGCAACCUGCCUAUGCCAGUGGGAUAGCCUCGGUACACCGGGAUUAAUACCGCAUAAAAUCGUAGAAACACAUGUUUCAACGGUCAAAGAUUUAUCGGUCAUAGAGGGGCUCGCGUCUGAUUAGCUAGUUGGUGAGAUAACAGCCCACCACGGCGACGAUCAGUAGCCGGGCGGGGAGGAUGAACGGCCAAAUGGGAACUGGGACACGGUCCAAACUCCGACGGGAGGCAGGAGUAGGGAACAUUGGACGAAGGGGGGAACCAUGAUGGAGGGAUGCCGGGUGAACGAAGAAGGUAUGCAUAUCGUAAAGUUCAGGCCUAUGGGAAGAUAAUGACGGUACCUGAGGAGAAAGCUCCGGCUAAAUACGUG
rnacentral:rRNA from 1 species